ACUGUGUUAGAACUGCUUACAAUUAAAGGUUGAAGGCAAAGAACGAUGGGUACAGGGCCACUGCUUCCAUAACAUAACAUAGGGGGGAAGGUACUGUGUUAGAACUGCUUACAAUUAUAGGUUGAAGGCAAAGAACGAUGGGUACAGGGCUGCUGCUUCUAUAACAUAACAUAGGGGGGAAGGUACUGUGUUAGAACUGCUUACAAUUAUAGGUUGAAGGCAAAGAACGAUGGGUACAGGGCUGCUGCUUCUAUAACAUAACAUAGGGGGGAAGGUACUGUGUUAGAACUGCUUACAAUUAUAGGUUGAAGGCAAAGAACGAUGGGUACAGGGCUGCUGCUUCCAUAACAUAGGGUGAAGGUAUUGUGUUAAAACUGCUUACAAUUACAGGUUGGAGGCAAAGAAUAAUGGCUACAGGGCUGUUGCUUCUGUAGCCAAGGAAUAGCCAAUAGAAUAAAUAAAAAAAUAGGGCUCAAAGUAAUAAACCUACAUAUGUAAAGAAAACUUGGAAUAUCUACCAAAUAUAUCAUCAAGAAGGAAUAUUUUAUACUUAGUUGACACCUUAUCCCGGUAGCUGCGGGGAUCAUGUUUCUUAAUGGUCCCUCUAAGCGAGAAAAAUGAGAAAAAAUCACCCCUCACGCAAACCAUUUCAUAAUAUAUAUCAAACCAUUUGUGAUCAGUUUAUGUAUCAUCUAUUUUUGGGGGUUUAUAUCAUGGUACAAAUUUGGCCCAUCGCUGCUACCGGGUUAAGAUAAGCAUGACCAUUCAACCACCAGUAAAGAAGAACAGACCAGGACAACCAGCACCUUCCCUUAACCCCUUGAUUGUGGAUUUCCUACCAGAAGACAUCACCAAGCUACAGGAAUGGAAGAAAAAGUGGCCGUUACAAUUCAAUGAAGAAAAAUAUAAAGUCAUGCACCUUGGGAGGGGACAUCCAGCACACCAAUACCACAUGGGAAACACUCCACUAUCCACCACAGAGGCAGAGGAAGACCUGAGACUAUAUGUUACCAGGUUACCAGUGAAGGCCAAAUCCGUGCCAAUCGCAGCGGACGGGUGAACAGACCCUUGACAGACAGACCAUAAAUAUGUAUAAAACAAAAUAUUGAAGGUAAAUAAAUAACCAGGCUCUAUACUAUGGCGACAAGGCCUCGAAGAUAGACCCCAUGGCAGCAAACCAGAUGAUAAUGAUGAUGAUAACUGCAAAACAUUGACCCGGAAACAAAAGUAGUAGUAGUAGUAGUAGUAGUAGUAGUAGUAGUAGUAGGAGGAGGAGGAGGAAAACAAAGCCACGAGUUUGAUUCAGGUUAAGGAAGGAGACAGGACGGAGAAAUACAAACAGUGUGGCGGAUGAAUGGAACAAACUGAACGGCUGUGAGAUUCAUGGGAUACAAACAGGUUAGUGGAUGAACGGAGCAAUUGUACAGCUGUUAGUUAAUAAUAGGCAAAAAGACUGGAGUACAAAUAGUAAUGUAGUAAUAGUAAUAAAUAAAAUAAAAUAGUAGUAAUGAAUAGUAAUAGAGUAAUGAAUGAACUGAAUAAAAUGAACACUCAACCCAGUAAGGAAAAAUAAUUAUGUAAAAUGAAGAAGAGAUUGAACAGAGGCUUCGUUAAACCUAAUUCAAGAGUUUCAAAUGACGGUUAGGUCGUUUUAAGGGACAGGAAAAUACAGGUGGUGGAGUUAAAGGGCACUGGAAGAGCAGAAAAAAGUGAACUAGGCUACCCGUGAGGAAAAACAUGAACGCUAAAUGAAGAAGAGAUUGAACAGAGGCGUCCUUAAACCUAAUUCAAGAGUUUCAAAUGAAGGUUAGGUAGUUUUAAGGGACAGGAAAAUACAGGUGGUUGACUUAAAGGGUACUGGAAGAGCAGAAAAGAGUGAACGACCAACCCCGUAACAGAAAAUAAGGACGUUAAAUGAAGAAGAGAUUGAACAGAGGCGUCGUUAAACCUAAUUCAAGAGUUUCAAAUGAAGGUUAGGUAGUUCAAAGGGACAGGAAAGAGGAAAGAAAAUACAGGUCAUGGAUAACUUGUACCCGGGGAUGCCUUGUAGCAGAAAGACAAUGUAUAAGGAACUGAAAAGAUACAUCAUUAAGAGCUAGUUCAGGAGCUUCAAAUAAAGGUAAGGUAGAUUUAAAGGACAUUAGUGAGCAGAAAACCUUGAAUGUCCAACCCCAUAAAGGAAGAUAAGGACAUUAAAUAAAGAAGGAAAUGAGCAAAUGCCUCGUUAAACCUAAUUCAAGAGUAUCAAAUGAAGGUUAGGUAGUUCAAAGUGACAGGAAAGAGGAAAGAAAAUACAGGUCGUGGAUAACUUGUACCCGGGGACUCGCACUGGCCUUGU